UGGGGAAUAUUGGACAAUGGGCGCAAGCCUGAUCCAGCCAUGCCGCGUGAGUGAUGAAGGCCCUAGGGUUGUAAAGCUCUUUCACCGGUGAAGAUAAUGACGGUAACCGGAGAAGAAGCCCCGGCUAACUUCGUGCCAGCAGCCGCGGUAAUACGAAGGGGGCUAGCGUUGUUCGGAUUUACUGGGCGUAAAGCGCACGUAGGCGGACUAUUAAGUCAGGGGUGAAAUCCCGGGGCUCAACCCCGGAACUGCCUUUGAUACUGGUAGUCUUGAGUUCGAGAGAGGUGAGUGGAAUUCCGGGUGUAGAGGUGAAAUUCGUAGAUAUUCGGGGGAACACCAGUGGCGAAGGCGGCUCACUGGCUCGAUACUGACGCUGAGGUGCGAAAGCGUGGGGAGCAAACAGG
rnacentral:rRNA from 1 species